rnacentral:rRNA from 1 species
UACGGGGGGGGCAAGCGUUGUUCGGAAUUACUGGGCGUAAAGGGCUCGUAGGUGGCCAACUAAGUCAGACGUGAAAUCCCUCGGCUUAACCGGGGAACUGCGUCUGAUACUGGAUGGCCGGAGUAUGGGAGAGGAUGCGGAAUUCCAGGUGUAGCGGUGAAAUGCGUAGAUAUCUGGAGGAACACCGGUGGCGAAGGCGGCAUCCUGGACCAUUACUGACGCUGAGGAGCGAAAGCCAGGGGAGCAAACGGGAU